rnacentral:lncRNA from 1 species
AAAUUCAACUUGAAUUGUUUCUUUUUAAACUCAAUAAUUGGAUUGAUAUUUUUGAUGUGUUAUAGGCCAUUCUUCUUUUCUAGUCACUUAGUUAAAAUAGAGGCCACCUUGUGCUAUAAGAUAGUGUAAAGCUCAAAGUGUCGAGAUGUUUAUGCUAAGUGAGAGAAAAACUAUGAUUUAUGUUCUAAACUAGUUGCAAAGCAAAGAAAAUUUCAAUUAAAGGCAGGAAAAAGGAAUUAUAUGAUGAGGGUCUGAUCUGAAUUGAAAAAAAAUAAAAGAGGAAGACAGGUGUAAAAAGAAUGAGAACAAAAGGAAAGGAAAUUAUGAUAGCCUAUGGACGAUUUUCAUGCAAACAUUUUUUUACAAAUACAAAAAUUUAAAGAGUAAAGAAUAAAAAAAUAAAAGAAUGGACACAAGGAUUUCUAGUAGUUCACAUCCACCUUAAACUAUAUUUAGUAUUUUAAGGAACUACUUAAGAUAUUCAUUAAUCCACAUUUGACUAGCAACUAUAUCAAUCAAAUUUAGGAUGUCAAUAACCUCUUAUCAAAUACCUUAAUAAAAAUCAAGACUUAACUAUGUACGAAAAUUUCAAAAUCUUUAGUAAAACUCGAAAUCAAACU